rnacentral:rRNA from 1 species
AUAUUGGCGAGAGACCGAUAGCGAACAAGUACCGUGAGGGAAAGAUGAAAAGCACUUUGGAAAGAGAGUGAAACAGUACGUGAAAUUGUUGAAAGGGAAACGCUUGAAGUCAGUCGCGUCCGCCGGGAUUCAGCUUUCGGGUAUACUUUCCGGUGGACGGGCCAGCAUCACUUUCAAUCAUCGGACAAGGUCGAGAGGAAUGUGGCAUCUUCGGGUGUGUUAUAGCCUCUUGUCGUACACGGUGACUGGGAGUGAGGACCGCCUUUGUAGGAUGCUGGCGUAAUGGCUUUAAACGACCCGUCUUGAAACACGGACC